AUGCUCAAGCCAGGGGUGCCCACUUGGAGCUUUAGUCCCUAUGUUGGGGCAGAGGGGAGGCUGGGAGCCAGAGAGAAGCAGAGGCCCCUGAGAUCCUGUUAUAACACCACUAAAUAUGCCCCAAAAAGCAGAACCAGCCUAAACCUUCCCUCCAGAUGUGUGGCAGAGUCCAGUUCCAACAUCAAGCUUGAUGUCUCUGGGUCUAGGAAGAAGCGUGAGUCUCUCUGGAGAUCAAUUGUUUCCCUGUGAACCCCUGGAUAUCUCUCACUCAGCUCUCAACAACAGCACAGAGCCAUCAGUGACUAUUGUGGACAGAGACUUGGAGGAAGCCGUCCACUGAGAUCCCCUUUUCAAGGAUCUCAUUCUCCAUCUCUCUCCCUAACUUGUUCCUGGGCUCCAGUACUCAAGCUAGUUAGCUCAGGAGUAGGGACCAAACCAGCAGCUGGCCAGAAGAGGGAUCAAAGCCAAGAGCCUUGAACCCCAAGACCUUGAUGUAAUGGAGAAGGUUUCUGGGGUGGUAAAAGAAACAGGAUCUAGGAAAGACAGCUGAUGUUUAGGUUGGCUCAGAGAGAGAGAAAGGGGUUUGAUUAGUUUUCCUCCUCCUCCUCCUCUUCCCCCUUCCCCUCCCCCUCCUCCCUCUCCUCCUCCUCCUCCUCCACUUCACUACUAGAGGCAAAAUGUUUCCCUCCCUUUUUAAGCUGUUUCACUCACACUUGAUUCAGUUUGGGAAAGGAUAACCAUUUUAAUGUAAAUUAAUUCAGUUAGGGUAAUACAAAGGAAUGGUUGUCUGGAAAAAGAAUGGCAAAGGAAAGUGAUGAAAAGGGGGUCCCUCUCUCCAAGUAACCCCCUUUCCCUCCCUCCUCAAGUUUGGGGAGAACUCAGGCUUUGGCAGCCUGAGCCCCCUGAGAGAUAGUUAGGUUGACUGACCCUAAGUUUGGCCCCUUGGCCACAGUUCAGACCCAGGGCACCUGGAGCUGAAGUAAAGUCUGACAGAGACUCAAAAAUGCCUUUCUCAGGUUUCUCCUCAGUAGUCUUUUCAAUUGGGAAAUGUUGGGGGGAAGGAUUUCCAGUCAAAAACAGGAAAAAGGUGGGUGACCUUCAGGAGAAAGUCUUAACCAGCCCUUUCUCUUCAGCUUCUGAAGACUGAGAGACUAGCUGCUCUUCAGAAGGAACCUUCUGGCUUCUCAAGAUUCCAGCCUCCUGGGGCCCCUCCCUCGACAAGGAGAAAGAUUCAGCCUGGCACUUUUCUUAAGUGCCAGCCUCUGUCAUAUUGGGGGGGGCAAUCUGCCAGAGGGGACAAGUCAAUAAGACUUACUGCUCACCUACUUCCCUUGCCUGACACCCAUACCUCUCCUUCCCCGUGUGAACCCAAAUAAAUUGUCUACUACUUUAGAAUUAGGUCUGGCU
rnacentral:lncRNA from 1 species